UAUCCAGUUACGUGGUUCUCUCCGCGCGUACGACGUCCCACAGUGGUGUGCACAGUGAAAGACAUGUCAUCGGUGUUAUUCUAGCAGUCAUAUUUAAUGACACUAUGUAAAAUAUGCUACAGUGAUGCGUAGACUGUGUGGUGCAACUUAUACAAUGAUGGCUAGGUUUUUUUUUUUUUUGUUAUUUUAGAAGUGUAUUUUGGUGUGAUAUGCAACGGAUUGCAUUCUUCCGAUCUAACCUUCCAGGCGUACAUGUCUCAAUUAUUUAAUCACUGCCUUCAGUGUUGGGGCUACAUAGCAUCAGAUGGUAAGAUGACUGAUGAAAUGGUGAACUGAAGAGGAUUUGGAAUGAAGCAGCAAAGCCUAGUCGAGGUACUAUCCGUGCAUUUGCCUGAGGAACUGAGAAAGAUUAUGAAAAACGUAUGACAGCUGGUGACCCAGCCAAGACUCGAUGGCAGUUCUAGCAGCAGCGCAGGAGUUCUCUGCAAACAGGAUUCAUGGGCUGAUACAUCAGUGGCAUGCUUGCCUCAAGACCCAUGGGGACUGCCUUCAAUGGCCUGCACUCCUUUCUCCAGAAAAAUUACUGAAUGAGUUUCAUAUGUAUGUUCUAGCAGUUUGCAGUACUUUUCAUUUUGUUUUGUCAAAAAUGAAAAAUGAAAAUCAGUGUUCAAGAAAAAGAAGUUUAUGGGUAAGUACAAGAAGGGCAGUAUUGUCUUCAAUUUACCGUAAUAUUUGGACCCAAUAUGGAAUACCUAUUUUAGUGACGUGCCUACAAUUUCAAGUGCUUCUGAUUAUAGGCUUGGGCCACACGAGCGCACGAAGUACGCCCGUUGUAACGAACAUACUUUAUGAC